rnacentral:misc_RNA from 1 species
GAUGAAGAACGUAGCGAAAUGCGAUACGUAAUGUGAAUUGCAGAAUUCAGUGAAUCAUCGAAUCUUUGAACGCACAUUGCGCCCGCCAGUAUUCUGGCGGGCAUGCCUGUCUGAGCGUCAUUUCAACCCUCACGCCCCUAGGGCGUGGUGUUGGGGAUCGGCCAAAGCCCGCGAGGGACGGCCGGCCCCUAAAUCUAGUGGCGGACCCGUCGUGGCCUCCUCUGCGAAGUAGUGAUAUUCCGCAUCGGAGAGCGAUGAGCCCCUGCCGUUAAACCCCCAACUUUCCAAGGUUGACCUCAGAUCAGGUAGGAAUACCCGCUGAACUUAAGCAUAUCAAUAAGCGGAGGA